GAAAGCUUAGGUCGCUAUGUUUGCGGACUCAUUGCAGAAGGUGCGGAAUGUCAAACGCAAUGGACGGCGCACGGACAACGUGAUGUGCAUCGACGGUAACGUAGCUGUGUUUACGGCGGACAUUGUGUGAACGAAUUUCCAUUCUGUGAAGGCUCCUUGCCUUUAAGGCCCCAAGAGCGGUACGUGUCGCUUGUGUCUGUGAAUGGCUUGCAGCAUUCCUGCCGGCUGUGCCCUUACAAGACCAAGAGGAAGUCCGACAUGAACAAACACAUACGUACACACUCAGGCGAACGUCCCUUCAUGUGCCACCUGUGCCCGGAAGCAUUCACUCAGGCUACCAACCUGACACGCCAUCUGCGCUGCCACACCGGAGACCGUUCCUUUUCCUGUGUGCACUGUGGUGCAUCGUUUAGGCAGAAGGGCCACCUGUCCAGCCACAUGUUCUGUCAUGCAGGGAAGAAGCCCUAAAGGUGCAGCCAGUGUUCUUGCGGCUCAGAAACUACCUGAAAAAUCUGGCGACUUCAAAGAAUGCAAGUGUCUGCCCAUCAAGCCUCCUUGCACAGCUUUAGUGAAAAUGACAGCCGGGGCCAUAGCCAGAGUUGCAACAGCUUGCAGGGACGUCCUGCCUGAUGUUAUGCCACUCAUAUUCACGCUGCAGCCUCUAUACAAGGAGUCUUUGCAGUUGCAGCCAUGGUCACUGCCACAG